GUGAAUUGAAUAUGUUAGCGGACCUCUUCGGAGUCCCUAGCAUCAAAUCAUAUCCGUAACACCUGUGAACUGUAAGGCUGUCUUGAAAACGAAAGUGAUUAGAGCGCCUGCCCAUUUUAUACAAACAUUAAAGUAACAAACGUAGUCUUAUUAUAAUCUAAUA
rnacentral:misc_RNA from 1 species